CGGGGGGAGCGGGCGGGGUCGCCCGCGAGGGCAAGGUCGAGGCCGCCCCCGCUCUGCCCUCCUCGGGCCACAGGUCUUGCUCCUCCUGCUCCCGACCCCCCCACCCAGCUCCUCUCCGGGGCACAGCGCACGAGAGCAGCCUCACAGGAAAGCGGGCCGGGCCGGGCCUGCAGGGCGGUGUGCCCUCGCGACUGAGGACCGGGUUUGAAUACAAGGCUUCACAGGUGGAGCCACGGGGUCUACAAGAGACCAGCCGCCACCAGACGAGAGUCCCCACUUCUCGGCUGACAUCCUUAGUCGCUCCUUUGGGGAGUAGACCGAAGUGCGUUACGAGAAAGGGCUUCCGGCCCCACGUCCCGCAGUAGCUGCGGUUUGUGAAGUUCUUUACAAAGGUAUACAUAACAAACGGACUGGUGUUGUGUUAUGCAGUUGUAUGUUAUGCAGAUCAUCGUGUAUACAUAACAGGUACUGAGUUAUCCACUGAUUUCACCUGGAGACAGUCACCAAAGCAGAGACCAGCUCCCAGGACAUCCCACUUCUUACCUCCAGUUUAGUCUGAGUCCACUUUCUUGAAGACGAGGCUAAUUUAACUCUCUGCGGACUACAUGUUAAGGCUCCAAUUCAGCACGAUAUUUAAGCAGUUGCAUAACUUUGGACGGCUCUCCUCUCCAGCCAAAGGCUAGUUUGCAAACAUCUGUAAGGCACUGGCAUUCCCUGGCAAUGAGCAAAGAGACAGAGCAACUUUUUCUUUGACUAUCUGCUACUGCUGGGGUGUAAUUAAUCACCUUAGCUACCCUGAGGUUUUGUGCAUGGAUGAUGUAAACUUCUGGAGCAGAAUCAUGAACCACAACCAAUAGGCAUUUUUUGGUAUCAAGCAUCCAAAUGAAUUGCUGCACCUAGGCCAGAUCUCGUACUGAAAGUGAGAGACAACCAAGCAGGCAAGAAGAGCUUACUCAGACUUAGCAUUACAACUAUAUUACACUGGGAGAAGGAAGACUGAGAAGCAUUUUUACUCUUCUACUCUUUGACAAGUUCGAUGAGAGUGGAAGGGUGUAUACAAGGGGAAAUCUGAAUCGAACAUUACCUGUAAGAAACACCUCACACUAUUUGCAUGGUGGAGAGGCAGAAAAUGCCAGUCCAGCUGUGUAGGAUGAGAUCACCACACUGAUCUCACUGUUUUGAAUUCUCUCAUUUUACUGACUCUGUUUUACACAAUGUUUUCUCAAAGUAGGCCUAACAUUAUUGUAAAAAAAAAAGGAAGAGAAUUUCAUUCACCCCAUCAUAGAUGAACUUUUUAAUUAUUCUUUUGAAUUCACUACUAAACUGCUGUUUUGUGCCUACCACCCUUUCACAGCUGUGUUGAGAACUCCAGUUCAAAGUCAGACAGAUUACAAUCUGAGAAUGAAAUUCAGAAUGAACUGAAACUCACUAAACUCAACUCGCAACACCCUGCUUGGCGGGGGGCAAAGCUAAGUGCCAAAAGCAUCAAAAGUAAGGAUAAUUAAACAAUGGAACAAUUUACCCAGGCAUAUGGCAAAUUCUCCAUCACAUGAUCUCUCUAAAAGAAGAUGGAUGUUUGCCCUGACUACCAGUAUCAAGAAGACUAUGGUCCUAGGACAGGGCAUUCACCCAUCAUCAUCUAGCAACCUUGACAACACACUUCUCAAAGCAAUGAACAAUUGUUCCUGCCUUGGAUCCACAGUGAGCGACAACCUAUUGUUGGAUGAAGAAUCAAAUGUGUGCAUUGGAAAGGCAGCUACCACUUUCAAUAAGCUCUCCAAACGAGUCUGGAACAACACAAAGGUCACAAUCAAAACAAAGUUGCUUGUGUACAAAGUCUGCAUCCUCAGUGUCCUUAUAUAUGGCAGUGAGAUGUAGUCAACAUAUGCAUAUCAAGAAAAGAAGCUGAGCAGCUUCCACCUAUACUGUUUACGGUGCAUCCUUGACAUCAAGUGGCAAGACAGGAUCACCGACAUGGAAGUCAUCGCCAAAGCCAACCUAUGAACCAUGGAUGGAAAAUGGGCACAUCCCAAAUGACAUCCUGUAUGGGCAAAUUACAGGUGGGGAGAGAGAAGAGUAUGGUGCCAGAAACUGCGCUUCAAAGAAGUCUGCAAGCAGGAUAUGAAGGCUUUUAGAAUUGACCCAAAUCUCUUGGAGGCCUUAGCUGGAGAUAGGACAAAGUAGCGCUCCCUUCUCAAUCAUGGAGUCCAACAUCAUGACAAGAAAUGGUCACUUGAAUUACAACAGAAACAUGACAGAAGGAAACAGCCUGUCAGUAGCCCCAAAUGCCAUGUAGACCUGUGACCACUAUGGCAGGACCUGCAAGUCUUAGUCUUUAGCCACAAGACAAAAUGCACCACCAGUCAGAAGAAUAGCUGCAGUGUCCACCAUCACUCACUGACAGAACAGAUGGCUUUCUGAGGCUCUUUUCUCCCAUUGCAGAAUGCAACUCACCACUGCCCACAGUCAUUUUAUUUCCUGUAAUAAAAAAUUAGCUACUUGAAAAAGUAAAGCCUCACUUUAUCCAUCUCUUCUUCACUCUCCUGAAACAGAUUAUCCCUCAUUUAUUAAUACAAAUUAGAAAAUUAAAAUUUCAAUAAGAAUUUGCAUUUCUGGAAAACCCUAGCAUGCACAGUCCAUUCAGUGUGAAAGAGGUCUGCAUGACAAAUAGCUCAGAGGUGUUUUCCACCCCACAUUAAGGAAAUGGAUAGAAUAUUUUACUAUUAUAUUGGGAGACAAAUUAUUGGCCCAUAUAUCAUAUUUACUUGCACACCACAUGCACCCCCUCCUCCACCCCCAUCAGCCCUUCAAAAUUGGGGUGCAUGUCUUAAGCAGGGAAGCUGAUUUUCUAUGUUGGAGUGCAAGCAUGGGGAUAUUGUAAAAUGGCUGUCAUGUUUCCCCCAUGCCAGCCUCAAGGAGUGAAGGGGUAGAGUCUGCUCUUCAGGGUCAGUGUUAGACUGUUAACCAUUUCACAGCCACUGCAGGUCUUCCCAAAGAAAUAGGAAUAUACAGUUUUCAAGUAUCCUUGUCUGACCAGAAUCAUAGUAUCUUACUGCAGAAUGCAGACUUACCACUGACCACAGUCUCAUUUUUCCUGUAAUAAAAAAAUGAGCUAUUUGAUUAAGUGAAGAAUCACUUUAUUUAUCUCUCCUCCAAUAGAUUAUCCCUCAAAUAUUUAUUAAUCAAAAUUAGAAAAUUAAAAUUUUUUAACCAUAGAGGUGGUGUCUUUAUUUCACAAGAUUAAAGAUACAGUACAAAAUGAAUCUGUACAUCUUUCUAUUAACAGGAUUUGUUUACACAAUUAUAUUACACUUUGCCAGCCUUUAUAUUGAAUUUCCUUAAAUACAAAAUAAAUUUACAAAAAUUCCUACAAUACCCUUUAACUGCAGCUGAUAAAAAUCAAAAUGGGCUUCCCCCAACAGCCCCUGCCUGCUUAUGCUUUUAUAGUAAUUCUCAAAAUCAUAUUAAACUUUCUUGUUUGUGCAUUGUUAAAAAACAAAUAAUUUCAAAUAUAUUUGAAAACAAAUAUAAUUUCAGCUUAUGGUUCAUCUGAAAUAGAAGCAAUUGGUGAACAUGAGCUUCUUUCCCUGUAACAGCCUCUUCAUGUGUUAAAGCUAACUUGUAUGGUUUGUGGAAAAAGUAUUGGUACAUAUUUUUAAAUCCUCUUACAACACACACUUGCAUGUACUUUUCAUGAUGAAACAGGACAUGCAUUUGAUAUAUUCUACUUUUGUGAGUUUAUCAACAGAGCAACUGAUGUCUCAGGGAAAACUUUUUUAAAGGCCACACUAUUUUCACUUUCAGUUUCUGUAUUUUUAAAGUCUCAAUAAAGGGCAUUUAUAUGAAAGCUCGUUCCUUCUACUACUUUACUCCUCACUUUAAACCAUUAGUUAUUGGGUGAAACAACUGAUGUAAGUACAUUUUGGGAAAAACCUUACUGGGAGAAGGCAGAAUAUCAACUUGAGAGUUCAGGAUUCUGUAAAGUGUUAUCUUUUUAAAUUACAAAAAACAAAGGUUUAUACAUUCAUUGGAUUAGUGAUUUCUAAAACAAAAAAAUUCCCCUCAGACCUUCAGCUUCAUUUUUCUCUCGUCUUUCCAUAUUUGAACUUCCAUUGACAGCCAUAAGAUGUUUAGUCAUUCUGCUCUCCAAAUGCAAAGUAGAGAAUGGGAAGGUUUGAAGAUGUGAAUUUUACCCUAAAAUACUGCAGGUGGGGGUAUAAAUUGCUCACAUUCAGAAACUUCAAAAUUUCCAGAAUAAAGAAUGAGGGACAAGAAAGCUGGGGAAAACUAAGUUGAGCAGCAUGUAUAGUGUCAGUACAACUGUGGGUUGCUACUUAUUUCUGAAUGACAUUACCAAAGUUUCCUGUUUGAAUUUUCAAAUUGGAACUCCCACUUUAGCCUUUCAAAAAGGCCAGUGCAGACUCAACUUCAGCAAUAUAAAACUUCACUGAAUCAGAAAAACUAUCUGAAUAAAAAUUCAAUAUCACUAAAAAUUCUGAAUAAUUUGUUUCAAGUCUAACCCCACUUUUAAAUCGUUGAUGCACAUACAGAGACAAGAUGCACCACUAAAGAUGUUCUAUAAAAACAAAUCCUAGUAGAAAAGUUAAAAAGCAACUCCCAGUUCUGUAAGGAAACUGGGAGAGUUGGUUGGUAAAUUAUGCACAACAUGCAAGUACUCACUAUUGCCAGUACUGAUGUUAUUUAAGAGGGAAAAACUACACUGCAAAUUCUGGAAGAGAACAAGGAUGUAUCAGAAAAAAACCUGAAACAUUCUGGAAACUGAUCUAGAAAAAUGUACUUUAUUUCUUUAAUUCUUGAGUUAAUUUGAUGUUAUUUAUGUUAAAUUAUCUCUAUUACUAUUACUUUAUUGCCAAAAGAACAGAUUGUUUUGUUCUACAUUAAUGGGAAGAAGUUUUCCAUAUUACUUUUUUAUAUUUCUGAAAAGGCAGUUCUUUAAAACGAAGAGUUCAAGCAAUGUUUGCUCAUUUUCUUUCACUGAUUUCUUGUGAAAUGUUUCCAUUCUGUGCAAAGCCAUCUAUAAAAGAGCACUGCUAAACCAUUUGGUGGGGAUAAAUUCCCCAAAACAUACAGCUUAGCCAUCAAAAAUUAUUCAAACAUGCAAAAAAUUCAAACUUAAAGUAAAAUAUAGCAAAAAUGGUAGAAUUGUUCCAAAACCUAAAAUACAGGCAUUUAAUACAAAUUUAGUAGUUGUUAAAUUGGAAAGUCCGUAUUUAGCAAUGGUUAAUUGGAACCAUUUUCCUGGUAGCUUUUUAUGUCUUUAUGCUGAACUAAAGUGAUCUAGAAAAUAAGAAGCAAGAAUUCUUGGUGGUGAUCUCUUUUUACUGACCCAACUACAUGGUUGGUAUAGACAUAAGCAAGCUUUCAGGUAUCGCAGUACCUUACCUUAGGCCUAAGGAAGGGUACUAUGAUCCCCCAAAACUUCCCUAUGUCUAUACCAACCAUAUAGUUGGUCCAUUAAAUAAAUUCCACACACAAGAAUUCUUGCCCUUUACAUAUCUCCUGGACUAUCAUUAUAACAACCCUAAAAAAUGAAAGACGUAAAAUGCAGCAGGGGAAAAAGCUUAAGAAUGUCAAUGACAUUUUAAGAGAAAAAUAAUGCAGUUAAGGAUUGCUAUACAUUUAGCCGUGCACAAUACAUAAGUUUAAUACUGUUUCCUCUCAUAUUAGAGUUGAAACAAGAUUUCCCUCCUCUAAAUAAUGUAAAUUCUUUCAGAACCAGAUAUAAAGAUUCUGAUUCCAUGUAUUCAGUAACUGCAUUUUGAAGAUAAGCUCUCAGAAGAAUUUAGAAGUUUUUGUUGCACUCAAUAAUACUACAGCCAGCCAUACAAUUUCAGCUUCUGAAAAGGGAUUUUUUUUAGCCCUUCUCCCAAACUGCAAUAAGACCUUCCUCAAAUCAUCUCAAUAUAAUACAUUAAGUACAAAAAUAUACAGAAUCUCACAGUUUUGAAGCUGUUUGUUACAGGCUGGUGCCAAUCCACUGAAAAAUCACUUGUAUAAAGGAGACAAGGUUCUUUGGGUGAAUCCGAUAUCUUUUAUUAGACCAACUUAAAUAGUUGGAAAACAGUUAUUAAGCAAGCUUUCUGGUUAAAAAACCCUUUGCCAGGCUACGGAAGUUUCAGCAGU